GCAUUAAUGGGGUAGUGGUAACCUGGGUCGUUGCCAGUACGGGUACUCGUGCUCAUGUUCGACCCGCCGGGGGUUCGAUUCCCCCUUAAUGCA